UCCCUAUCUGCCGUGGGCGCUGGAGAACUGAGGGGGGCUGCUCCUAGUACGAGAGGACCGGAGUGGACGCAUCACUGGUGUUCGGGUUGUCAUGCCAAUGGCACUGCCCGGUAGCUAAAUGCGGAAGAGAUAAGUGCUGAAAGCAUCUAAGCACGAAACUUGCCCCGAGAUGAGUUCUCCCUGACCCUUUAAGGGUCCUGAAGGAACGUUGAAGACGACGACGUUGAUAGGCCGGGUGUGUAAGCGCAGCGAUGCGUUGAGCUAACCGGUACUAAUGAACCGUGAGGCUUAACCUUACAACGCCGAAGCUGUU
rnacentral:rRNA from 1 species